rnacentral:rRNA from 1 species
UCCUACGGGUGGCAGCAGUGGGGAAUAUUGGACAAUGGGCGCAAGCCUGAUCCAGCAAUACCGCGUGAAUGAUGAAGGUCUUCGGAUUGUAAAGUUCUUUUAGUGGAGAAGAUAAUGACGGUAUCCACAGAAAAAGCACCGGCUAACUUCGUGCCAGCAGCCGCGGUAAUACGAAGGGUGCUAGCGUUGUUCGGAAUCAUUGGGCGUAAAGCGUAUGUAGGCUGUUUAGCAAGUCAGUUGUGAAAUCCCCAGGCUUAACUUGGGAAUUGCAGCUGAAACUGCUUUGCUAGAAUUUGGUGGGGGAUGAUGGAAUUCCUAGUGUAGGGGUGAAAUCCGUAGAUAUUAGGAGGAACACCAGAGGCGAAAGCGAUCAUCUACGCCAACAUUGACGCUGAGAUACGAAAGCGUGGGGAGCAAACAGGAUUAGAUACCCGAGUAGUC